AGAGUUUGAUCCUGGCUCAGAGUGAACGCUGGCGGCAGGCCUAACACAUGCAAGUCGAGCGGCAGCACAGCAGUAGCAAUACUGUGGGUGGCGAGCGGCGGACGGGUGAGGAAUACAUCGGAAUCUACCUUCUUGUGGGGGAUAACGUAGGGAAACUUACGCUAAUACCGCAUAAGACCUGAGGGUGAAAGCGGGGGACCGCAAGGCCUCGCGCGAGAAGAUGAGCCGAUGUCGGAUUAGCUAGUUGGUGGGGUAAAGGCUCACCAAGGCGACGAUCCGUAGCUGGUCUGAGAGGAUGAUCAGCCACACUGGAACUGAGACACGGUCCAGACUCCUACGGGAGGCAGCAGUGGGGAAUAUUGGACAAUGGGCGCAAGCCUGAUCCAGCCAUGCCGCGUGUGUGAAGAAGGCCUUCGGGUUGUAAAGCACUUUUGUUGGGGAAGAAAAGAUCGCGGUUAAUAACCGUGGUUCAUGACGGUACCCAAAGAAUAAGCACCGGCUAACUUCGUGCCAGCAGCCGCGGUAAUACGAAGGGUGCAAGCGUUACUCGGAAUUACUGGGCGUAAAGCGUGCGUAGGCGGUUUGUUAAGUCUGCCGUGAAAGCCCCGGGCUCAACCUGGGAAUUGCGGUGGAUACUGGCAGGCUAGAGUACGGUAGAGGAUGGUGGAAUUCCCGGUGUAGCAGUGAAAUGCGUAGAGAUCGGGAGGAACAUCUAUGGCGAAGGCAGCCAUCUGGACCAGUACUGACGCUGAGGCACGAAAGCGUGGGGGAGCAAACAGGAUUAGAUACCCUGGUAGUCC
rnacentral:rRNA from 1 species